rnacentral:lncRNA from 1 species
AGUAAGUGGGAACCAAAGCGCCAUUCUAGGGUCUUGUUUCAAUCCUAUGUCUCACUGCUUCAUCUCAUUAACAGGUAGGCCACUGUGAAACCCUUACUGAACUGCCCUCACCCUGCUGCCCACCAUUUGGAGGAGGGGAUUCACUAACAUAUGGCAGGGAGUCUCUUUAUAACCCCUCACCUGGUCCACAGGGUCUUUCCUCUUCCAGAAAGCCAUGUCUCUGUUAGCAUCCCAUCCUUAUGCCAAAACCAUCAGGGUCUGGCAUUUGAAUUUAUCCUGCUGAUAAGUGAUUAAUUGGCCUCCUGCUGUUUCAUGGAUGCUGGCCAAGAUGAGACUCCUGGCCAGAGACUAAGGACUUUAUCACUCAUGGCACAGCAAGCAGCAUAAGCAUAAUGUUUACAUUGCCUCCCUUUCCCCCCAAGUCCCACAGGGACAAUGUGGGGGGCCUCAGUGGAUGCUGUGCAUGCAAUAGGUUUGUGUUACAUCUGAGAACAUUGAGCUUGGAGAAUGCACUUCUUUUAUAGAAGGAAAGAAGCAAGUUUGCUCUUUGUCCUGGAGGGAGAUAUUUCUACAUUCCUCAAAGUUGCUCUGCAAACACAAGCCUGAGAAAUGGCAGGAAGAGCAGUUAGGACCUUGCAUUCUUGGUCCUGAAAGAAUGUGCAGGGACACUCCAAGCUCUCCCAAUAGCUCCAACCCCCAUGUGUCCACUUCCAGGCCAUGCCUGUCUCUUCUUAAAAAUUUAUUAUUAUUUUUAAAAAUAUUUUAUUUAUUUAUUUAUUCAUGAGAGACACACACAGAGAGGCACAGACAUAGGCAGAGGGACAAACAGGCGUCAUGCAGGGAGCCCGAUAUGGGACUCGAUUUCAGGACUCCAGGAUCAUGCCCUGAGCCAAAGGCAGAUGCUCAACUGCUGAGCCACCCGGGGGUCCCUUAAAUUUAUUUAAAAAAAAAAAUUAUUUAUUUGAGAGACAGAAAAAGAGAGAGAGAACACAAGGAAGGGGAAAGGGUAGAGGGAGAAGCAGAUUUCCCUCUGAACAGGGAGCCGGACAUGGGGCUUGAUCCCAGGACCCCAGGAUCACAAUUUGAACCAAAGGCAGAUGCUUGAGCAGCCUCGGUGGCUCAGCAGUUUAGCGCCACCUUGAGUCCAGGGCGUGAUCCCAGAGACCCUGGACCGAGUCCCAUGUCGGGCUCCCUGCAUGGAGCCUGCUUCUCCCUCUGCCUGUGUCUCUGCCUCUCUCUCUCUGUGUCUCUCAUGGAUAAAUAAAUAAAAUCUUAAAAAAAAAAAAAAACAAAGGCAGAUACUUAACUGAUCAAGCCACCCAGGUGUCCCUCUUUUUUAUUUUUUAAAAAAGAUUUAUUUACUUAUUUGAGAGAGAGCAAGAGUGAGCAUGCACACGCAUGUGCAGGGAGGAGGCGCAUGAGGAGAGGGACAGAGAGAACCCCAUGCAGACUCCCUGUAGAGCAUGCAGCCUGACUUAGGCUUGAUCCCACCACCCUGAGAUCAUGACCCAAUCCAAAAUCAAGAGUCGGAUGCUUACCUGACUGAGCUACUCAGGCACCCCAUCUGUCUCUUUUUUAAAAGCCCUGCUUCUCAGUCCCAAUGCUCAGCCUGGAUGAUGGAAGCAAAGCAAGAAAAAGAGAAAUCCAAGCUCUUUUAGGAUCACAGAUGCAAAAGACUUAAAUAGAGGUUAGCAGAGCAAAUAGAGUGGUAUCCUUAAAAAAUAAUAUAUCAUGAUCAAGCCUGCUUUUCUAGCAUACAAAGAUACCCCAGCAUUAAAAAGCUCAUCAAUAUGUAUUAACAGACUCAAGGAUAAAUUUCAUUAUUUCAAUUAGCAGAUCCCUAUGGGGCAAAAGUCGACAAAAAUAACAACAUUCUAGCCUUCAUUGAACUUACAUUUAAGCAAGAGACAGACAAACGAAUGAACAAAUACAUAAUAUGACAUUUAGUAGUGAUUGGGAUAGUUGAGAUACUAAAGCUGAAGGGGGUGAUAGAGAUCAACAAUUUCACAUGAGGGAUCCCUGGGUGUCACAGCGGUUUAGUGCCUGCCUUUGGCCCAGGGCGCGAUCCUGGAGACCCGGGAUCGAAUCCCACGUCGGGCUCCCCGGUGCAUGGAGCCUGCUUCUCCCUCUGCCUAUGUCUCUGCCUCUCUCUCUCUCUGUGUGACUAUCAUAAAAAAAAAAAAAAAAAAAACAAAAAAAAAAAA